GUGAUAUAACUGAUUAACCAAAUAUAAUUAAGACCUAUGGUCUUUUGAUUUGAGGUCCUUGGUUUAUGACCUUGAAAUUGAUCUCAAGGUCAUAGCUUAAUUUGACGUUCUGGAUUUUGACCUUUGCUUUUACCUCACAUGUAUGCAUGAUAAAAUCAUGAGACUUUUGGCAAAAGGUAUCAAACCAUUGAACCUUGAAAAA
rnacentral:lncRNA from 1 species